UGGGGAAUUUUGGACAAUGGGCGAAAGCCUGAUCCAGCCAUGCCGCGUGAGUGAAGAAGGCCUUCGGGUUGUAAAGCUCUUUCGGACGGAAAGAAAUCGCGUCGGUGAAUAUCCGGCGUGGAUGACGGUACCGUAAGAAGAAGCACCGGCUAACUACGUGCCAGCAGCCGCGGUAAUACGUAGGGUGCGAGCGUUAAUCGGAAUUACUGGGCGUAAAGCGUGCGCAGGCGGUUGUGCAAGACAGGUGUGAAAUCCCCGGGCUUAACCUGGGAACUGCGCUUGUGACUGCACGGCUAGAGUACGGUAGAGGGGGGUGGAAUUCCUGGUGUAGCAGUGAAAUGCGUAGAUAUCAGGAGGAACAUCGAUGGCGAAGGCAGCCCCCUGGACCUGUACUGACGCUCAUGCACGAAAGCGUGGGGAGCAAACAGG
rnacentral:rRNA from 1 species